CUCGUAGGUGGCCAACUAAGUCAGACGUGAAAUCCCUCGGCUUAACCGGGGAACUGCGUCUGAUACUGGAUGGCUUGAGAUUGGGAGAGGGAUGCGGAAUUCCAGGUGUAGCGGUGAAAUGCGUAGAUAUCUGGAGGAACACCGGUGGCGAAGGCGGCAUCCUGGACCAACACUGACACUGAGGAGCGAAAGCCAGGGAGCAAACG
rnacentral:rRNA from 1 species